GUCUCUGGCCAUACCACCCUUAACACGCCAGAGCUUGUCUGAUCUUGGAAGCUACGCAGGGUCAGGAUGGUUAGUACUUGCUGUGGUAUGAUGGCGUACACCUGUAAUCCCAGCACUAGGGAGG
rnacentral:rRNA from 1 species